GCUCACUUCAGUAGCACAUACUAAAAUUGGAAUGAUACAGCAAAAGUCAUUAACAUGGCGCCUGUGUGAGGAUGAUUUACAAAUUUACAAAGUGUUCUAUAUUUUU